UACGAAGGGAGCUAGCGUUGCUCGGAAUGACUGGGCGUAAAGGGCGCGUAGGCGGUUCGUACAGUCAGACGUGAAAUUCCCGGGCUCAACCUGGGGGCUGCGUUUGAUACGUGCGGGCUUGAGUUCGGAAGAGGGGUCGUGGAAUUCCCAGUGUAGAGGUGAAAUUCGUAGAUAUUGGGAAGAACACCGGUGGCGAAGGCGGCGACCUGGUCCGAUACUGACGCUGAGGCGCGAAAGCGUGGGGAGCAAACAGG
rnacentral:rRNA from 1 species